ACACCAUCCUUCCACCUCCCACGUUCCAGCUGCAGCUGCUCGGUCUGUGACCCAGGCCAGACAGUCUCGAACUCUGAACAGAAGGCCAGGCUGGGGUGAUGGCAGAGGAGCACCCACAAGCCCGCUCAUCGAUGUAAAGGAAGAAGUUGGGAUGGCCUCUAUGGAAGUGUCUGCAAGGACCUCUCCUGGUGGGACCCCCUUCCGAACUGUCCAGUCGAUCACUGGCCCGACCGCUGAGAGGGUCCAGCUCUGCAUUCAGACUGACGGUGAAGGAUAUUUAUCUCUAUCCUGAGAUGCUAACUGUUCAAAGUGGCCUUUUGACACCAACACUGAAGGCAAAGCGAGCAGGACUAAGAAAAUUCUUCAGCGCACAAAUUGCUGAACUUUAUGCAAAGUGCACUGUAUAAACAAGUGCACGUUUUUGAGGCAAAUCUAAUUAGUGUCUUGUAAUUAGUAUCUUGAUAAUGGUAACUGAUGCUUUGCAAUGAUCUACCAGAAUAUAUAUAUAUAGUAGUUUAGAACAACAAGCCCUGUGAGCCAAAAAAAAAGCAGAGUAUCCUAUUACUGUUAAAUUAUAUUUGAUGAUGUCCAAAAUUACUUAUAUUUGAAGCAUUCAUCUCCUUCAUGGAGGAAUGUCAUCAUAAACUUGAAAUGAAGGGGAAGUACCAAUUAAGUUGCACUUGUAUGGAAGGAUGUAAAGUUGUCACAAAUGCACUAUUGAAUAACAUAAGGCCAUAAGACAUAGGAACAGAAUUAGGCCAUUCAGCCCAUUGAGUCUUAACCGCCAUUCCAUCAUGGCUGAUCCCAGAUCCCACUCAACCCCAUACAUCUGCCUUUUUGCCAUAUCCUUUGAUGCCCUGACUGAUCAGGAAAUGAUCAACUUCCGCCUUAUAUAUACACGCAUGGACUUGGCCUCCACUACAGUUCUGUAUUCCACAGAUCUGCUACUCUCUGGCUAAAAAAAUUCCUCCUUAUCUCUGUUCUAAAAGGUCACUUCUCAAUUUUGAGGCUGUGCCCUCUAGUUCUGGACACCCUGACCAUAGGAAAUAUCCUCUUCAUAUCCCACCCUAUCUAGUCCUUUCAAUAUUCGGUAGGGUUCAAUGAGAAUCACCCGUAUUCUUCUAAAUUCCAGUGAGUACAGGCCCAAAGCUGCCAAGUGAUUUAAGUAUAUUAACCCUUCAUUCCUGGAAUCAUCCUUGUGAACCUCCUCAGGACUCUCUCCAAUGACAACACAUCCUUUCUGAGAUAAGGGGUCCAAAACAAUUGACAAUGCACCAAGUGCAGCCUGCCUAGUGUCUUUAUAAAGGCUCCACAUAAUCUCCUAGCUUUUAUUUUCUAUACCCUUUGAAAUAAUUGUCAAGAUUGCAUUCGCCUUCUUUACCACAGACUCAACCUGUAAAUUACCCUUUGGUGGGAGUCUUGCACCUCUGAAGUUUGAACCUACUCCCUAUUUAGAUAAUAGUCUGCACAAUUGUUCCUUUUACCAAAAUGCGUCAUCAGAUAUUUCCCAACACUAUAUUCCAUCUGCUACUUUUUUUUUUGCCCGUUCUUCCAAUUUGUCUUAAGUCCCACUGCAAUUGCAUUGUUGCCUCAGCACCAGACCAUAAGAUAUACAAGCAGAAGUAGGUCAUUCGGCCAUCGAGUCUGCUCCAUCAUUCAUCAUAGGCUGAUCUAAUUCUUCCAGUCAUCCCCACUCCCCUGCCUUCUCCCUAUACCCUUUGAUGCCCUGGCUAAUCAAGAACCUAUCUAUCUCUGCCUUAAGUGCACCCAGUGACUUGGCCUCCACAGCUGCUCAUGGCAACAAAUUCCACAGAUUUACCACCCUCUGACUAAAGUAAUUUCUCCUAAUCUCUGUUCUAAAUGGAUGCCUUUCUAUCUUGAAGUCUUGCCCUCUUGUCCUAGACAUCCUACCAUGGGAAAUAACUUUGCCAUAUCUAAUCUGUUCAGGUCUUUUAACAUUCAGAAUGUUUCUAUGAGAUCCCCCCUCAUUCUCCUGAACUCCAGGGAAUACAGCCCAAGAGCUGCCAUAUGGUAACUCUUUCAUUCCUAGAAUCAUUCUUGGGAAUCUUUUCUGAACUUUCUCCAAAGUCAGUACAUCUUUUCUAAAAUAUGGAGCCCAAAACUGCACCCAAUACUCCAAGUGUGGUCUCACAACUGUCUUCUAGAUCUUCAACAUCAAAUCUCUGCUCUUAUCGUCUAUACCUCUAGAAAUGAAUGCCAUCUUCACCACCAACUUAACCUGGAAGUUAACCAAGUUCCUUUGCAUCUCUGCAUUUUGAAUUCUCUCCCAUCUAAACAAUAGUUUCCCUGUUUAUUUCUUCCACCAAUGUGCACGACCAUACACUUUCCAACAUUGUAUUUCAUUUGUCACUUCUUUGCCCAUUGCCCUAAACUAUCUAAGUCUCUCUGUAGGCUCUCUGUUUCCUCAACACUACCCACUCCACUACCUAUCUUUGUAUCAUUGGCAAAUUUAGCCACAAAUGCAACACUGAGCAUCGUAGGAAGUCAUUCCUGCCUGUGGCCAUCAAACUUUACAACUCCUUCCUUGGAGUGUCAGACACCCUGAGCCAAUAGGCUGGUCCUGGACUUAU